rnacentral:rRNA from 1 species
GAUGAACGCUGGCGGUAGGCCUAACACAUGCAAGUCGAACGGCAGCACAGUAAGAGCUUGCUCUUACGGGUGGCGAGUGGCGGACGGGUGAGGAAUACAUCGGAAUCUACUUUUUCGUGGGGGAUAACGUAGGGAAACUUACGCUAAUACCGCAUACGACCUACGGGUGAAAGCAGGGGAUCUUCGGACCUUGCGCGAUUGAAUGAGCCGAUGUCGGAUUAGCUAGUUGGCGGGGUAAAGGCCCACCAAGGCGACGAUCCGUAGCUGGUCUGAGAGGAUGAUCAGCCACACUGGAACUGAGACACGGUCCAGACUCCUACGGGAGGCAGCAGUGGGGAAUAUUGGACAAUGGGCGCAAGCCUGAUCCAGCCAUACCGCGUGGGUGAAGAAGGCCUUCGGGUUGUAAAGCCCUUUUGUUGGAAAAGAAAAGCAGCAGGUUAAUACCCCGCUGUUCUGACGGUACCCAAAGAAUAAGCACCGGCUAACUUCGUG